AAGGUGAAGGUGAAGUCGCUCAGUCGUGUCCGACUCUUUGCGACCCCGUGGACUGUAGCCUACCAGGCUCCUCCGUCCACUGAUCUCUUAAUACUGGAAAUCUUCAAGCAAGGAGUCUGAAGGUCUAGCAAGAGCGCAGGACAUGAUAAAACUGUCUGUGGGUUAAGUUUUAUUGCAGAUGGAAAGAAGAGAGCGACGGCCGCCGCGCAGGACUGCUGAGCACAUCGCCCUAGGUGAGGUCUCCUCUCCACUGCCCAGCAGCUCGCCUGUUCUUCCUUCGUCUUUUCCUUCAGAUCUGUCCAAUUGCAUCAUAAACUGUCAAAGUUGGAAGGGGCCUGAUAGAUCAUUUUCGAGGAUUGUGGCCUAAAGCAUAUAAGCUUUGAAGGAUGUUGAACCCAUUAAAUCUUUCUUGCAUCUGGGC
ensembl:lncRNA